rnacentral:rRNA from 1 species
CCUACGGGCGGCAGCAGUGAGGAAUAUUGGUCAAUGGGCGCGAGCCUGAACCAGCCAAGUAGCGUGAGGGAAGACGGUCCUAUGGAUUGUAAACCGCUUUUAUAGGGGAGUAAACGACGCCACGCGUGGGGGUCAGAGAGUACCCGAUGAAAAAGCAUCGGCUAACUCCGUGCCAGCAGCCGCGGUAAUACGGAGGAUGCAAGCGUUAUCCGGAUUUACUGGGUGUAAAGGGUGCGUAGGCGGCUUGGCAAGUCAGUAGUGAAAUCCAUGGGCUUAACCCAUGCCCUGCAAUUGAAACUGUCGAGCUUGAGUGAAGUAGAGGUAGGCGGAAUUCCCGGUGUAGCGGUGAAAUGCGUAGAGAUCGCGAGGAACACCAGUGGCGAAGGCGGCCUACUGCGCUUUAACUGACGCUGAGGCCCGAAAGCGUGGGUAGCAAACAGGAUUAGAUACCCUGGUAGUC